rnacentral:rRNA from 1 species
GAUGAACGCUAGCGGCAGGCUUAAUACAUGCAAGUCGUGGGGCAGCGCAGGUAGCAAUACUGGGCGGCGACCGGCAAACGGGUGCGGAACACGUACACAACCUUCCUACAAGUGGGGAAUAGCCCAGAGAAAUUUGGAUUAAUACCCCGUAACAUAUAGAUGUGGCAUCACAACUAUAUUAUAGCUUCGGCGCUUGUUGAUGGGUGUGCGGCUGAUUAGAUAGUUGGCGGGGUAACGGCCCACCAAGUCUACGAUCAGUAGCUGAUGUGAGAGCAUG